CAACGGCCAUAUCCUGGUGAAAAUACGGCUUCCCGUCCGAUCAAGCCAUAGUCAAAGCACCAAGAGAGCCUAGUUAGUAUUGUAGUGGGGGAGACCAUACGAGAAUUCCUAGGUUGCUGCAAUU
rnacentral:rRNA from 1 species